AACGAACGCUGGCGGCAGGCUUAACACAUGCAAGUCGAGCGCCCCGGCAACGGGGAGCGGCAGACGGGUGAGUAACGCGUGGGAACAUACCCUCCGGUUCGGAAUAACUCAGGGAAACUUGAGCUAAUACCGGAUACGGUCGAGAGGCGAAAGAUUCAUCGCCGGAGGAUUGGCCCGCGUCCGAUUAGCUAGUUGGCAGGGUAAUGGCCUACCAAGGCGACGAUCGGUAGCUGGUCUGAGAGGAUGAUCAGCCACAUUGGGACUGAGACACGGCCCA
rnacentral:rRNA from 1 species